UCGUUAGCUCAGUCGGUAGAGCAGUUGACUUUUAAUCAAUUGGUCGCAGGUUCGAAUCCUGCACGAC
rnacentral:tRNA from 6 species